rnacentral:tRNA from 1 species
GCGCCCGUAGCUCAACUGGACAGAGCAACGGACUUCUAAUCCGUAGGUUGCGAGUUCGACUCUCGCCGGGCGUA